rnacentral:lncRNA from 1 species
GGCCGGCUCCGAAGUGAACUCCUGGAUAGGAUCGGCGACAUACCCAAAGCCCUCAGGCGAGGGAGGGAAUCCGGCGCUGCCGCCGACUUCCACGGUUGUUAUGGGAUCCUCCUCGAUAACCUCGUCGACCUCACCAUCGGCGGCGGCGGCGGGGGAGAAGGACGAGAAGGCGUCGAAGCGCUGGGAGGGGAGGCGGGGGUCGUAGCCGACGUAGCCGUCGUCAUCGAAGGGGCGGGAGGAACCCUUUGGCGUCGCGUCUUCGCC